CUGGUAGGACCCCACUAAUCUCAUGGGCAUAAGCUUGUUUAGUCUAUGGGACCCCAAGUAAUAAUGGCCAUUAUAAUAAGUGAAUUAUGUGUUAUGAUAUGUCUUUAUGUUUUCUUAUGAAAUUAUGUAUAUGACUAUGUGUUAGGAAAAUAGGCUAGAAUCUACAUGUUUAUGAUUAUGCUAUUUUAUGUGUUAUGUUUUCAUAUGUUAUAUGUUAUUGAUGUGUAUGUUGUAGGCUUGGGCAUAUGCCUAUUUGACUAACAAGACCCCAAAAGGAUUGUGGGCAUAAGCCUAUUUAGCUGGUAGGACCCCACUAAUCUCAUGGGCAUAAGCUUGUUUAGUCUAUGGGACCCCAAGUAAUAAUGGCCAUUAUAAUAAGUGAAUUAUGUGUUAUGAUAUGUCUUUAUGUUUUCUUAUGAAAUUAUGUAUAUGACUAUGUGUUAGGAAAAUAGGCUAGAAUCUACAUGUUUAUGAUUAUGCUAUUUUAUGUGUUAUGUUUUCAUAUGUUAUAUGUUAUUGAUGUGUAUGUUGUAGGCUUGGGCAUAUGCCUAUUUGACUAACAAGACCCCAAAAGGAUUGUGGGCAUAAGCCUAUUUAGCUGGUAGGACCCCACUAAUCUCAUGGGCAUAAGCUUGUUUAGUCUAUGGGACCCCAA